rnacentral:rRNA from 1 species
UGGGGGAUAUUGCACAAUGGAGGAAACUCUGAUGCAGCAACGCCGCGUGAGGGAAGAAGGUCUUCGGAUUGUAAACCUUUGUUUUUGGUGACGAACAAAUGACGGUAGCCAAAGAGGAAGCCACGGCUAACUACGUGCCAGCAGCCGCGGUAAUACGUAGGUGGCAAGCGUUGUCCGGAUUUACUGGGUGUAAAGGGAGCGCAGGCGGGACAGCAAGUUGGAUGUGAAAUACCGGAGCUUAACUCCGGAGCUGCAUCCAAAACUGUUGUUCUUGAGUGAAGUAGAGGUUGGCGGAAUUCCGAGUGUAGCGGUGAAAUGCGUAGAUAUUCGGAGGAACACCAGUGGCGAAGGCGGCCAACUGGGCUUUAACUGACGCUGAGGCUCGAAAGCAUGGGGAGCAAACAGGA